AUUGAACGCUGGCGGAAUGCUUUACACAUGCAAGUCGAACGGUAGAGGGGGCAACCCCUCGAGAGUGGCAAACGGGUGAGUAAUAUAUCGGAAGGUGCCCAGUCGUGGGGGAUAACGUAGCGAAAGUUACGAUAAUAACGCAUCCGACCUAAGGAUGAAAUCGGGGGAUCGCAAGACCUCGCGCGAUUGGAGCGGCCGAUAUCAGAUUAGGUAGUUGGUGGGGUAAAGGCUAACCAAGCCAACGAUCUGUAGCUGGUCUGAGAGGACGACCAGCCACACGGUCAAUGCGACUCUGUCCAGACUCCUACGGGAGGCAGCAGUUUGUAAUUUUGGACAAUGGACGCAAGUCUCUUCCAGCCAUUCCGCGUGCAGGAUGAAGGCCCUCGGGUUGUAAACUGCUUUUGUACGGAACGAAAAGGUCUCUCUUAAUACGGGGGACUCAUGACGGUACCGUAAGAAUAAGCACCGGCUAACUACGUGCCAGCCGCCGCCGUAAGAC
rnacentral:rRNA from 1 species